rnacentral:rRNA from 1 species
GACGAACGCUGGCGGCGUGCUUAACACAUGCAAGUCGAACGGAAAGGCCCUGCUUUUGUGGGGUGCUCGAGUGGCGAACGGGUGAGUAACACGUGAGUAACCUGCCCUUGACUUUGGGAUAACUUCAGGAAACUGGGGCUAAUACCGGAUAGGAGCUCCUGCUGCAUGGUGGGGGUUGGAAAGUUUCGGCGGUUGGGGAUGGACGCGCGGCUUAUCAGCUUGUUGGUGGGGGAGUGGCUUACCCAGGCUUUGACGGGUAGCCGGCCUGAGAGGGUGAACGGCCACAUUGGGACUGAGAUACGGACCAGACUCCUACGGGAGGCAGCAGUGGGGAAUAUUGCACAAUGGGCGGAAGCCUGAUGCAGCAGCGCCGCGUGCGGGAUGACGGCCUUCGGGUUGUAAACCGCUUUCGCCUGUGACGAAGCGUGAGUGACGGUAAUGGGUAAAGAAGCACCGGCUAACUACGUG